CCCUUAGAUGUUCUGGGCCGCACGCGCGCUACACUGAUGUGUCCAGUAAGCACCUAACCUCUUCCGAAAGGAACGGGUAACCUUUGCAAAGCACAUCGUGAUGGGGAUAGAUUAUUGCAAUUAUUAGUCUUGAACGAGGAAUUCCUAGUAAGCACAAGUCAUCAGCUUGUGUUGAUUACGUCCCUGCCCUUUGUACACACCGCCCGUCGCUCCUACCGAUUGAAUGUUCCGGUGAGCUCUUCGGACUGCGCGGUCUGCAGUUUCUGCGUUCCGUGCGGAAAGUUGCGCAAACCUUAACAUUUAGAGGAAGGGGAAGUCGUAACA
rnacentral:rRNA from 1 species